UGAGGAACAUGACCUUCGGCGGGGGAGUAGCCGGCCCAACGGCCGGGUAAUACCGCGUACGACCACAUGGGGACAUCCCUGAGUGGUGAAAGCAGCAAUGCGCCGAUGGAGUGCCUCGCGGCCUAUCAGCUAGUUGGUGAGGUAACGGCUCACCAAGGCGACGACGGGUAGCUGGUCUGAGAGGAUGAUCAGCCACAGUUGGGACUGAGACACGGCCCAGAUCCG
rnacentral:rRNA from 1 species